rnacentral:rRNA from 1 species
GGAGGAAAAGAAACCAACAGGGAUUGCCCUAGUAACGGCGAGUGAAGCGGCAACAGCUCAAAUUUGAAAUCUGGCUUCGGCCCGAGUUGUAAUUUGUAGAGGAUGCUUUUGGUGAGGUGCCUUCUGAGUUCCCUGGAACGGGACGCCAGAGAGGGUGAGAGCCCCGUAUAGUCGGCCACCGAUCCUGUGUAAAGCUCCUUCGACGAGUCGAGUAGUUUGGGAAUGCUGCUCAAAAUGGGAGGUAUAUCUCUUCUAAAGCUAAAUAUAGGCCAGAGACCGAUAGCGCACAAGUAGAGUGAUCGAAAGAUGAAAAGCACUUUGAAAAGAGGGUUAAAUAGCACGUGAAAUUGUUGAAAGGGAAGCGCUUGUGACCAGACUUGUGCCGGGCUGAUCAUCCAGUGUUCUCACUGGUGCACUCGACCCGGCUCAGGCCAGCGUCGGUUUUCGCAGGGGGAUAAAAGCUUCGGGAACGUGGCACCUUCGGGUGUGUUAUAGCCCGUUGCUUAAUACCCUUGCGGGGACCGAGGUUCGCGCUCUGCAAGGACGCUGGCAUAAUGGUCAUCAGCGAC